rnacentral:rRNA from 1 species
AGUGAACGCUGGCGGUAGGCCUAACACAUGCAAGUCGAACGGCAGCACAGUAAGAGCUUGCUCUUACGGGUGGCGAGUGGCGGACGGGUGAGGAAUACAUCGGAAUCUACUUUUUCGUGGGGGAUAACGUAGGGAAACUUACGCUAAUACCGCAUACGACCUACGGGUGAAAGCAGUGGAUCUUCGGACCUUGCGGGAUUGAAUGGGCCGGUGGCGGAUUAGCUAGUUGGGGGGGUAGAGGCCCACCAAGGCGACGAUCCGUAGCUGGUCUGUGAGGGUGAGAGGCGGCACAGGCACCGAGGGAAGGCCCAGACGGGGAAGGGUGGCAACAGGGGGGAAUAUUGCACCAUCCGCGGCAGCCUGGUGCAGAAACGCCGCGUGCGGGAAGACCGUUUUCGGGGGAAAAAAAGCUAUCGGGUGUAACCCCGCGUGUGUGACGGUAACCGAUAAAAAAGCACCGGCUAACUACGUG